rnacentral:lncRNA from 1 species
UUUCUCUUCACAAACUAAACCAAAGACGUGGAGGCCUCCAAAAACCCUAAGAGUUGCCGCCCAUGUUUUGUAGCUAUGGAAAGGGCAAAGAUGGGUGUGAACGGGGUAUAAACCGAUAGAUUUUCGAGGAGUAACGCAUCUCUAAUCUUGACAGAAGAUGAGAAAUUGCAUUGGUUCAUCCUUUCCACUAGUGGUUGACACCUAGGUAAGCUAAGGUUAUUUGUACAGUAUAAAUCCGUGUUAGAAAGCACGAAUGUAACGUAGAUGGAUGAGAGAUUUCAUGUUUAGGCCUUCGGGCACGGGAUUAGAUUGUCCAAAAUCGAUUAAAGUUCGGAUAAUGUAUGAGAAGGGGC